rnacentral:rRNA from 1 species
AUUGAACGCUGGCGGCAUGCCUAACACAUGCAAGUCGAACGGCAGCACGGCAGUAGCAAUACUGUGGGUGGCGAGUGGCGGACGGGUGAGGAAUACGUCGGAAUCUGCCCAGUCGUGGGGGGAUAACUAGCCGAAAGGUUAGCUAAUACCGCAUACGACCGAGAGGUGAAAGCGGGGGACCGCAAGGCCUCGCGCGAUUGGAUGAGCCGACGUCGGAUUAGCUAGUUGGUGGGGUAAAGGCCCACCAAGGCGACGAUCCGUAGCUGGUCUGAGAGGAUGAUCAGCCACACUGGAACUGAGACAUGGUCCAGACUCCUACGGGAGGCAGCAGUGGGGAAUAUUGGACAAUGGGCGCAAGCCUGAUCCAGCAAUGCCGCGUGUGUGAAGAAGGCCUUCGGUUGUAAG